UACGUAGGUGGCAAGCGUUGUCCGGAUUUAUUGGGUUUAAAGGGUGCGUAGGCGGCUUUGUAAGUCAGUGGUGAAAUACUCCAGCUCAACUGGAGAGGUGCCAUUGAUACUGCAGAGCUAGAGUACUGAUGAGGUAGGCGGAAUGGACGGUGUAGCGGUGAAAUGCUUAGAUAUCGUCCAGAACACCGAUCGCGAAGGCAGCUUACUACAGAGUAACUGACGCUGAGGCGCGAAAGUGUGGGGAUCAAACAGC
rnacentral:rRNA from 1 species